rnacentral:rRNA from 1 species
UACGUAGGGCGCGAGCGUUGUCCGGAAUUAUUGGGCGUAAAGAGCUUGUAGGCGGUUUGUCGCGUCUGCCGUGAAAAUCCGGGGCUCAACCCCGGACUUGCGGUGGGUACGGGCAGACUAGAGUGUGGUAGGGGAGACUGGAAUUCCUGGUGUAGCAGUGAAAUGCGCAGAUAUCAGGAGGAACACCGAUGGCGAAGGCAGGUCUCUGGGCCACUACUGACGCUGAGAAGCGAAAGCGUGGGGAGCGAACAGG